ACUUAAAAUAAAAAGGGUUAUAACUCUCGAAACCCACUAAGUAACUAGGAAUAUCAACCUAGUUAAUUAUGUGGUUUGAAAACAAUAAAGAAAACUUGGUUUAUAAUCCUUUUGAUAACUCUAAAAACUUGAGGGACUAAAAGUGUUAAAUGAGAAAAUAGUUUUAAUUUAAUAAAAAUCAAAACACCAAAACACACACUCAUGUGUGUGUUCUGGUCGUGGUUUACACAGGAGCCAAAAAGGGUUUUUAUCAAAACCCUAAAUCACAAGAAAUUCAGCCAAAUCAAGGGAAAUCAAGCUAGGAAAUUGGGGCUUUUAAUAAAUUAGUGAUCACCAAACCUAGGGGAUUACAAGUUUGACGCCUAACAAGCUAGGUGGAAGCUUGUGGAUGAAGCGGGUCAAACGGAGCGCGUACGGAAAGAAAGGCGUGGCAUGGAUGCAAGGUGUAAAUGUCAAAUGGGUAUUAGCAACGCUAUGAAUUAGCGGUUAUAAAAGCAAGGUAUUAAAAACGGGUCAAUAUAUUGAUCUGCGCCAGGUAUGUGAAAAAGGGUAACCCUCAUUGUGGUUCAAAGAGUGUUAAAAGUAGUCAAGGUGAACAUUUGGUUACUUGAUAAGUAAACCAAAUGUUUUAGGUAAGGAACAUUGUAUUUGGAAAGCUUAAUGACUUUUCAAACAAAAUCAUAGGUUAAAAGAGGGAUUACGGGUCAAAAUAAGCAUACGAGUGAAAACAGGUUUAAAUUGUGUAAUAAACCUGUGAUUAUAACCUAAUAUGGUAAAUAACCUUAAUUUGAAGUAGUGUACGUGAUAUAAAGGUUAAACAAGUAUGUUUGUUUGAUAAACGUAUAAACGGGUCAAAAUUUUGGUAAAAGAGUAAUAAGCCGAAGACUUAAAAGUCUUAAAUUUUAUUAAUCCGGAUGUUGGAUUU